rnacentral:rRNA from 1 species
AUUGAACGCUGGCGGCAGGCUUAACACAUGCAAGUCGAGCGGUAGCACAAGAGAGCUUGCUCUCUAGGUGACGAGCGGCGGACGGGUGAGUAAUGUCUGGGAAACUGUCUGAUGGAGGGGGAUAACUACUGGAAACGGUAGCUAAUACCGCAUAACGUCGCAAGACCAAAGAGGGGGACCUUCUGGCCUCUUGCCAUCAGGUGUGCCCAGAUGGGAUUAGCUAGUUGGUGGGGUAAAGGCCCACCUAGGCGACGAUCCCUAGCUGGUCUGAGAGGAUGAUCAGCCACACUGGAACUGAGACACGGUCCAGACUCCUACGGGAGGCAGCAGUGGGGAAUAUUGGACAAUGGGCGCAAGCCUGAUCCAGCCAUGCCGCGUGUGUGAAGAAGGCCUUCGGGUUGUAAAGCACUUUUAGUGAGGAGGAAGGGCGUCAGGUUAAUACGCUGAUGAACUGACGUUACUCAAAGAAGAAGCACCGGCUAACUUCGUG